ensembl:lncRNA
CAUUGUCCUGUUUCCUGACCGACCAGCUGCUUCUUGCUCCCUCGACCCCGACUUCCCCAUAGGCACCAACUGCACCUUGAACUGUGAGCCCUGGGUAACUGCUCCUCCUCUCAGGUGCUUUUGUCAGAGGAUUUUAUCACAACAGCAAGAGAAACUAAGGCACCAGGAGGUAAAAAGCCAGCUAGCGUUCCAGAGCACCGUUGGUGGCAACAGAAGAGGCACUGUUGAACUUGUCAUCCAAGUUCCUGUCAGAAGCUGCCAGCUGAACUGACAAGGGUUCUGACCACCCGGGGCAGUGAUCCAGAGGCCCUCCCAUUCUCCAAAACGUAACCAGCUCAUCCAGCUUCAGCCUGGGUUCCUCUUGGGGGAGGCCUCUUCCCUGCUCCUUUGCCUUGCCUGUUAUUACCAUCUGACUCCUGUCCUCCAGAGAUCUGUAUAUGUGCC